rnacentral:tRNA from 1 species
CCUGGUGCCUCAGAUGGUAAAGCGUCUGCCUACAAUGCAGGAGACCCAGGUUCGAUUCCUGGGCCGGGA